AUUGUAAUUUGAAGGACCUAUUAAAACCCUGAGAGAGCCCAAAGUCCAUUGGAAAAUGGCGCCAUAGAAGGUGAUAGCCCUGUGUGGACCUCUCUCAGCAUACUUUUUAGGCCCAAAGAGUCGAGUUGUUUGGGAAUGCAGCUCUAAGUGGGUGGUAAAUUCCAUCUAAAGCUAAAUAUUGGCGAGAGACCGAUAGCGAACAAGUACAGUGAUGGAAAGAUGAAAAGCACUUUGAAAAGAGAGUGAAAAAGUACGUGAAAUUGUUGAAAGGGAAGGGCUUGCAAGCAGACACAACCUCGGUUGGGCCAGCAUCGGGGCGGGGGGAAACAAAAAAGGUGUGGAAUGUGGCUCUUAUGAGUGUUAUAGCCCCACCCAAUAUUUCCAUCCCAUCCCGAGGCCUGCGAUUCUUCAAGGAUGCUGGCGUAAUGGUUGCAAGUCGCCCGUCUUGAAACACGGACCAAGGAGUCUAACGUCUAUGCGAGUGUUUGGGUGUCAAACCCAUACGCGCAAUGAAAGUAAUAGGAGCGAACCUUUUUGGUGCAGCUCCGACCACAUCAAGGCCUAAACCCUGAUGUGAGUAAGCAUGGCUGUUGGGACCCGAAAGAUGGUGAACUAUACCUGGAUAGGGUGAAGCCAGAGGAAACUCUGGUGGAGGCUCGUAGCGGUUCUGACGUGCAAAUCGAUCGUCGAAUUCUUGGGUAUA
rnacentral:rRNA from 1 species